rnacentral:lncRNA from 1 species
AGCCACCGUGCCUGGCCUGAGUUUUACUCUUUCUUUGGCCACAGCCCUGGGGUCCAGUCAGGGAGGGAGAUAGGGUCCCACAAGCAGGGGAGAGCAGGGUGAGCCGGGAGCGCCUCCACACCGGCUUCUAUCUCUCAGUUUCCUGUGCCUGGUCCCCGAGGAAGCCAAGACCUCUGCCUUCCUGGAGGAGACAGGCUAUGACACAUACGUCCACGAUGCUUAUGGCCUGUUCCAGGAGUGCAGCUCCCGCGUCGCCUCCUGGGGCUGGCCUCUGACCCCCACACCUUUGGACCCCCAUGAGCCCGAGCGACCUUUCUUCGAGGGCCACUUCCUCCGAGUGCUGUUUGACCGCAUGUCCCGGAUUCUGGAUCAGGUAGCUAGUGGGCCUGGGCCAGGAGAACUCCAGGCUGGUGCCUCUGGGGUCCUUCAAGAGCAGAGGUUGGCCACAGGGUUGCCUCUGCUUCGGUUCUUUGGUGCCACCCCUGUCCUUUCCCCAGGUGGGAAGCCCCGUCUCACCCCUGCUCCACACGUCCUAACACGUUCUGGCCCUCAGCCCCAUGGAAUCCAUGACACACACACACAUCACGUGAGCCUCCCACCCCCACACACGUUCACAGUGGCCAGGCACCUUGCUGGGGGAGUGCAAAAAUGCUCACCAGCCCUGCCAGCCCUCGGCUC